GACGAACGCUGGCGGCGUGCCUAAUACAUGCAAGUAGAACGCUGAAGGAGGAGCUUGCUUCUCUGGAUGAGUUGCGAACGGGUGAGUAACGCGUAGGUAACCUGCCUGGUAGCGGGGGAUAACUAUUGGAAACGAUAGCUAAUACCGCAUAAGAGUAGAUGUUGCAUGACAUUUGCUUAAAAGGUGCAAUUGCAUCACUACCAGAUGGACCUGCGUUGUAUUAGCUAGUUGGUGGGGUAACGGCUCACCAAGGCGACGAUACAUAGCCGACCUGAGAGGGUGAUCGGCCACACUGGGACUGAGACACGGCCCAGACUCCUACGGGAGGCAGCAGUAGGGAAUCUUCGGCAAUGGACGGAAGUCUGACCGAGCAACGCCGCGUGAGUGAAGAAGGUUUUCGGAUCGUAAAGCUCUGUUGUAAGAGAAGAACGAGUGUGAGAGUGGAAAGUUCACACUGUGACGGUAUCUUACCAGAAAGGGACGGCUAACUACGUGCCAGCAGCCGCGGUAAUACGUAGGUGGCAAGCGUUAUCCGGAUUUAUUGGGCGUAAAGAGAGUGCAGGCGGUUUUCUAAGUCUGAUGUGAAAGCCUUCGGCUUAACCGGAGAAGUGCAUCGGGAAACUGGGAUAACUUGAGUGCAGAAGAGGGUAGUGGGACUCCGUGUGUAGCGGUGGGAAUGCGUAGAUAUAUGGAAGAACACCAGUGGCCAACGCGGCUACCUGGUCUGCACUGAGGUAAGCUCCAAAGCAUGGGGGGCGAACGG
rnacentral:rRNA from 1 species